rnacentral:rRNA from 1 species
GAUCGAUGGCUACAGGACGAACGCUGGCGGCGUGCCUAACACAUGCAAGUCGAACGGAGAUACGAUUUCGGUUGUAUCUUAGUGGCGAACGGGUGAGUAACGCGUGAGCAACCUGACCUUUAGAGGGGGAUAACACUUGGAAACAGGUGCUAAUACCGCAUAAGACCACGACCCGACAUCGGGAUGAGGUCAAAGGAGUAAUCCGCUAGAGGAGGGGCUCGCGUCCCAUUAGAUAGAUGGCGGGGCAACGGCCCACCAUGUCGACGAUGGGUAGCCGAGCUGAGAGGCUGAUCGGCCACACUGGAACUGAGACACGGUCCAGACUCCUACGGGAGGCAGCAGUGGGGAAUAUUGGGCAAUGGGCGCAAGCCUGACCCAGCAACGCCGCGUGAGGGAAGAAGGCCUUCGGGUUGUAAACCUCUGUCCUUGGUGACGAAAAAAAUGACGGUAGCCAAGGAGGAAGCCCCGGCUAACUACGUG